rnacentral:rRNA from 1 species
AACGAACGCUGGCGGCAUGCCUAACACAUGCAAGUCGAACGAUGCCUUCGGGUCUGGUGGCGCACGGGUGCGUAACGCGUGGUAACCUGCCCUUAGGUUGGGCAUAACUCUCCGAAAGGUGUGCUAAUUCCGGGUAAUUUCUGCGGACCAAAGAUUUAUGGCUUUUGGGUGGGGCCGCAUUGGUUUCGCUUGUUGGUAGGGUAACAGCCUAGCAAGGCGUCGGUGCGUUGCUGGUCUGAGAGGAUGAUCAGCUACACUGGGACUGAGACACAGCCCAGACUCCUACGCGAGGCAGCAGAAGAGAAUACUGGACGAGGGGCGCAGGCCUGACCACGCAACGCCGGGGGAGUGAGGAAGGCCGUAGUGUUCCACUGCUAGCUUACACGAGAUGAUAAUGACAGUACCGGGAGAAGAAGCUCCGGCUAACUACGUG